UAAGUUGCUUUUAGCAUAGAACUAAAUUGAUUAGUCAGAUUAGCCUAAGUUGAAUGCCUCUAGUGCUCCUACUACUCCACCCUUCCCCACCCCUCUAGUGCUCCUACUACUUCACCCCGAAGACCCCCUCCUUUAACCUCGAGCCCCAGAUCGGCCAUGCUGCCUCGGCCUCCCCUGGUUGCAUAUGCUGCCUCGGCUGUAUAGUCUUGUGGCGCUGAUGUUGGCCUAGGCUAGCAGUGGCCUCACGUCCGCGGGAUGUUGAGAUGACAGCUUGGUCACCGAUAACACCCAUUCAAGGUUGGCACGACAAUUCUCUAAAGAGUCUGCACCGGCCAGAAGACCUUGUGAUAUAUCUCCAAUGAGUAAGUUGGUUGUGUAUUGCAACAUAUUUGGGUGUGCACUAGGUGUUCGUUGAAUUAUUUUCGGGGGCCUAACAGUCUGGAUGCCUACUAUUUAGCACCUUACUGUGUUGUUGUGCUAGUGUCAUUGGUCUACGAAUACGGCACAUUUGGUUUGGACGAUUCAGUGAUACUUCAUAUGGUUAGUGUUUUUAUAUUCUGGCCAUCUUGGGAUGGUUAAACUAGGGAGAUCCAUAACCACGAAGAUUUUUCAAUGCACAGAAAUAAACGAGUCUAAUAGUUCUGUGAUGGAGCAAUCCGAACCUGCCUCCCCCUGGCUUGAUCUACCGUCCUAUCAUGCAGUUGAGACCUUCUUUGGCGUGAGGCGUAUUUGUAUAAGUGCAGAUGGCCAUGCUUGGGAUAAGUUUGCCGGACAAGCAGUUAUUAGGUUGUUCUUCCUGGAACUAAAUCUUACGCAAACACAGUUUAAAGGAGAUCUGCCAGAGAGUGGUAGGAGGAGGCGUCACGUGGUCCUUGGUUGGGCCUGGUUAGAACUUGCAAGCUAGGGAGGAGGCGUCACGUGGUCUAGGACGUGGGCGAACGUACUAAUCAGGAACUCAGGAGCGUGCGGGGCCACGUGGCCGGUGGCGUGCAUUGUAUUUUAUUGACUGAGUGCUGGGUUGGACCAGCUAGCACCCGGAUGCUAGGU